AUAGGUGACCGAGUGGUUAAGGUGUAAAAUUCGAAAUUUUAUGGGUUUAUCUCGCGCAGGUUCGAUUCCUGUCCUAUG
rnacentral:ncRNA from 11 species